UACGUAGGGUGCGAGCGUUAAUCGGAAUUACUGGGCGUAAAGCGUGCGCAGGCGGUUCGUUGUGUCGGAUGUGAAAUCCCCAGGCUUAACCUGGGAACUGCAUCCGAUACUGGAUGGCUUGAAUCCGGGAGAGGGAUGCAGAAUUCCAGGUGUAGCGGUGAAAUGCGUAGAUAUCUGGAGGAAUACCGGUGGCGAAGGCGGCAUCCUGGACCGGCAUUGACGCUGAGGAGCGAAAGCUAGGGGAGCAAACGGG
rnacentral:rRNA from 1 species